AGUGUUUUACAUUGUUUUAAUUUGAAGUUAAUUUAUCAUGAUUAAUUUCAUGUAUACGCUU
rnacentral:tRNA from 1 species